AUCCACAGUGGCAAGGACUUGGGAAUAUGGCUAAGAUCGAAUUCAGGAGGCUUCCUUUGACCGUAGACUCUCAGAUUCUUUAGCAAUCCAUAGUCAUACCUGGAAAAAGUACCCUUCCGGAUCAUCUGGAAAAGAUGGUGCAGAUUUUUUGCUGAAGAUGGAUGUGGUUCAUAUUCGAAAAAUAAGUCAAAACGUGAGCGAUUAAGGCAACAAUUUUCCCCUGUUAUUGAACUUAGAACAUUGAUGCAGUUAACCAGCCGAUCACAAAGAUUAUCUAAAAGGACUGUUCCCCAAUCGCUUUUAAA
rnacentral:misc_RNA from 1 species